CUCAAAUUCCAAUUCUGGUUUGUCAUCGUUCGUUUCCUUGUCGUUGUGGAUCUCAACUCACUGUUCCUCCGGGGAGAUGGCUGACCGGAAGCUUCAAUCUCACUAGUAACCUCAGGCUUUUCUUGGAAGAGGGCACUAUGAUUUUGGGUACUCAGGCAUUGGCUCUGCAACUGAGAUCAUAAUAUGGAGACUAUUAAGAUGCAUUUGCUGCAAAAGUUAAAGAUGACUCGUUGAUUGCAAGGAAGAACUCAAAACUGGUCUUAGAGAACGACGAGCUCCUUCCUCGUGCUUCCCAAUCCUAAGGCUGGAACCCUCCCUUCAUCACCCUCGCAGGGUUUCUCAAUCGAUCUAGAAGAUGGAAUUGGUGGUGUCCUUGGACAAUCGUUGAGAAAAAGCUUUGUGAAUGGUUAAAUCUUUGGUGUUUUUUUUUUAAAUUUUUAUUUAUUGAUGUUUGUUUUUGGAUAAUGUAUGUGAAUUAAUUGAAAAUUUUGAUGUUUAUUGAGUAUCAAUUGAUCAAAGCGUGUUGCGGAUUCUUUUA